rnacentral:rRNA from 1 species
AGUGAACGCUGGCGGUAGGCCUAACACAUGCAAGUCGAACGGCAGCACAGUAAGAGCUUGCUCUUACGGGUGGCGAGUGGCGGACGGGUGAGGAAUACAUCGGAAUCUACUUUUUCGUGGGGGAUAACGUAGGGAAACUUACGCUAAUACCGCAUACGACCUACGGGUGAAAGCAGGGGAUCUUCGGACCUUUCGCGAUUGAAUGAGCCGAUGUCGGAUUAGCUAGUUGGCGGGGUAAAGGCCCACCAAGGCGACGAUCCGUAGCUGGUCUGAGAGGAUGAUCAGCCACACUGGAACUGAGACACGGUCCAGACUCCUACGGGAGGCAGCAGUGGGGAAUAUUGGACAAUGGGCGCAAGCCUGAUCCAGCAAUACCGCGUGGGUGAAGAAGGCCUUCGGGUUGUAAAGCCCUUUUGUUGGGAAAGAAAAGCAGCAGGUUAAUACCCCGCUGUUCUGACGGUACCCAAAGAAUAAGCACCGGCUAACUUCGUG